ACUACAAGUGAAAAACUUGAAACUCAAAGGACUUGACGGUGUCCCAUACCGACCUAGAGGAGCCUGUCCUAUAAUCGAUACUCCCCGCUCCACCCAACCCCAACUAGCAUUCCUCAGCCUAUAUACCGCCGUCGAUCAGCCUACCCUAUGAAAGUCCAAUAGUAGACACAAUAGCCCUAUCGCUAAUACGUCAGGUCAAGGUGUAGCAAAUGUUGUGGAAGAGAUUGGCUACAUUUUUUAUUAUAAAAAAUACGAAAAAUACUAUGAAACAGUAUAUGAAGGUGAAUUUAGUAGUAAAAUAAACAAGAGUGUUUAUUUUAACAACGCUCUGGGACGCGUACACACCGCC
rnacentral:rRNA from 1 species